UUAAUAAUAUUGAUUAUUAUAUUAAAUAUAUAUAGAUAAUAUUAUAUUAAAAUUAUUAAAAAUUUUAAUUAAUAUAUUUAGUAUGAUAAUUAAAUUACCAGUAAUGUAAAAUCAAAUGUUUAAAAUAUCUUCAUAAAAUUUCAUUGAAUUUUGAAUUACUGAGAAAGAAUUUGAUUUUAUUUUUUAAAUUUAAAUUAAAAUUUUUAAAAUACGUUAGACAAGAGGACGGAUGGUAACUGGGUCAUCGGGAUAGAGGGCGGUGG
rnacentral:lncRNA from 1 species